rnacentral:rRNA from 1 species
AGUGAACGCUGGCGGUAGGCCUAACACAUGCAAGUCGAACGGCAGCACAGUAAGAGCUUGUUCUUACGGGUGGCGAGUGGCGGACGGGUGAGGAAUACAUCGGAAUCUACUUUUUCGUGGGGGAUAACGGAGGGAAACUGACGCUAAUACCGCAUACGACCUACGGGUGAAAGCAGGGGAUCUUCGGACCUUGCGCGAUUGAAUGAGCCGAUGUCGGAUUAGCUAGUUGGCGGGGUAAAGGCUCACCAAGGCGACGAUCCGUAGCUGGUCUGAGAGGAUGAUCGGCCACACUGGAACUGAGACACGGUCCAGACUCCUACGGGAGGCAGCAGUGGGGAAUAUUGGACAAUGGGCGAAAGCCUGAUCCAGCCAUACCGCGUGGGUGAAGAAGGCCUUCGGGUUGUAAAGCCCUUUUGUUGGGAAAGAAAAGCAGCAGGUUAAUACCUCGAUGUUCUGACGGUACCCAAAGAAUAAGCACCGGCUAACUUCGUG